CAGCCGGAGAGGCAGGCGCUCCCUCGGCCGAGAUAUGGGAUCUUCACUCCACUGAUCCUGGGUUCUCACUUGAGCUGCUGAGCUAGCAGUUCCAUCGCACAGAUGAAGAGAAGCAAGGAGACUGGGCAGCCCUGCUGGACACCCAAAUCUACCACGAUUAUUGUGGUCAGGCACCUGUUCACUAGCACCCUGAUGGUCACAUCUGUUUGUGGUGUCUUUAUCCAGGCAACAAAGGUUGGAGGGAUCCCUACCUUCUUCAGCAUCUCAAACAGAAGUGGAUUAAUGUAUGGGCCAGCUGGGAAUGAGCCCAGGGGCCCCUACCAAUUAAAGGCUCUGGCCCGAGGAUCCUCAUCAGCAGGGAAGUCAAACAUGCAGUUGGCGCCAGCUACCCCUCCCAGUGCUGCUGCCUGCCCACAGAGACAGAGUGGCGUCGCUGGUCCGGCCCGGCCGAGCAGGUCCUCUGCAUUUGCCUGGCUGCACAGGACAGCUGGGCAGCAGCUCCUUGCAGCUCUACGGUGGCUGCUUCCAGAAGAGGAAAAGGCCACUUCCUUCAGCAUUCUCUGAACUAUAUGCCAUGUUUCCUCCUCUUGUUGGGAAGAAAAAGGAGGUCACCCACUGUCAAGCCUUCCUCUUAGAGCCGUGCUGCACAACUUUACAUCCUACCAGAGAGGUCAUUUAGUAACCCAUGUAAACAUUUGUAAGUACAUUUGUAACCCGCGUAGACCAUGUAAUACAAAUGUAACUUGCUCCUGCUUUUGCUAUUGAAAAGAAAACCAAUAAAGAGAGUAAUGGAUUGUUGAAAGACAAUUAAUCUUGUGAUUGACUGGCUCCUUUCUUUUGUGAAACUAUUAGCAAAAGUUUGAAUCAAAAGAAAGCAUCUCCAGGCUGCAUCACCGGUGGGUGCAGUUAUGCAUCAUCUCUCCAAACCAGCCCCAUGAAGAAAGAAAAGAUGAAGAAAGAAAACA